GGAUGUGGGGGCGAUCUGGCUGCAAUAUACGUCACCUCAUUGAUCACCACGGUUGAUUUGGCAGAUCUGGCUGGCUAGGUGGGUGUCCCUCUUCUCCCUCACCACUCCAUGUUCCUCCUCUCCCAUGGAGGAGGACUGUUUCCUUGGCCAAGGGUAUAUAAAUCACUGUACUGCCGUGCUAGAACCUCCUAACAAUCCCAUCAAUAAAUAUGACCACAUUUCCAUGAAGGAGUUGUUGGCAUUUCUACUCAUGUUCCUGAGUCCAAAAGUUUCUUGUUUACUGGUGUA
rnacentral:snRNA from 1 species